rnacentral:rRNA from 1 species
UACGGAGGUGGCAAGCGUUGCUCGGAAUUACUGGGCGUAAAGCGCACGUAGGCGGGUUCUUAAGUCGGUGGUGAAAUCCUGGAGCUCAACUCCAGAACUGCCUUCGAUACUGGGAAUCUUGAGUCCGGGAGAGGUGAGUGGAACUGCGAGUGUAGAGGUGAAAUUCGUAGAUAUUCGCAAGAACACCAGUGGCGAAGGCGGCUCACUGGCCCGGUACUGACGCUGAGGUGCGAAAGCGUGGGGAGCAAACAGG